rnacentral:rRNA from 1 species
GAAACCGGGUGAUCUAGCCAUGGGCAGGUUGAAGGUUGAGUAACAUCAACUGGAGGACCGAACCGACUAAUGUUGAAAAAUUAGCGGAUGACUUGUGGCUAGGGGUGAAAGGCCAAUCAAACUCGGAGAUAGCUGGUUCUCCCCGAAAGCUAUUUAGGUAGCGCCUCGGACGAAUACUACUGGGGGUAGAGCACUGUUAAGGCUAGGGGGUCAUCCCGACUUACCAACCCUUUGCAAACUCCGAAUACCAGUAAGUACUAUCCGGGAGACACACGGCGGGUGCUAACGUCCGUCGUGGAGAGGGAAACAACCCAGACCGCCAGCUAAGGUCCCAAAGUAUUGCUAAGUGGGAAACGAUGUGGGAAGGCUCAGACAGCUAGGAUGUUGGCUUAGAAGCAGCCAUCAUUUAAAGAAAGCGUAAUAGCUCACUAGUCGAGUCGGCCUGCGCGGAAGAUGUAACGGGGCUAAGCAAUACACCGAAGCUGCGGCAAUAUCUUUUAGAUAUUGGGUAGGGGAGCGUUCUGUAAGCCGUUGAAGGUGAAUCGUAAGGUUUGCUGGAGGUAUCAGAAGUGCGAAUGCUGACAUGAGUAACGACAAAGGGGGUGAAAAACCUCCUCGCCGGAAGACCAAGGGUUCCUGUCCAACGUUAAUCGGGGCAGGGUGAGUCGACCCCUAAGGUGAGGCCGAAAGGCGUAAUCGAUGGGAAACGGGUUAAUAUUCCCGUACUUCUGACUAUUGCGAUGGGGGGACGGAGAAGGCUAGGUGGGCCAGGCGACGGUUGUCCUGGUUCAAGUGCGUAGGCUUGAGAGUUAGGUAAAUCCGGCUCUCUCUAAGGCUGAGACACGACGUCGAGCUGCUACGGCAGUGAAGUCAUUGAUGCCAUGCUUCCAGGAAAAGCCUCUAAGCUUCAGAUAGUCAGGAAUCGUACCCCAAACCGACACAGGUGGUCGGGUAGAGAAUACCAAGGCGCUUGAGAGAACUCGGGUGAAGGAACUAGGCAAAAUGGUACCGUAACUUCGGGAGAAGGUACGCUCUUGAUGGUGAAGUCCCUCGCGGAUGGAGCUGACGAGAGUCGCAGAUACCAGGUGGCUGCAACUGUUUAUUAAAAACACAGCACUGUGCAAAAUCGCAAGAUGACGUAUACGGUGUGACGCCUGCCCGGUGCCGGAAGGUUAAUUGAUGGGGUUAGCGCAAGCGAAGCUCUUGAUCGAAGCCCCGGUAAACGGCGGCCGUAACUAUAACGGUCCUAAGGUAGCGAAAUUCCUUGUCGGGUAAGUUCCGACCUGCACGAAUGGCGUAAUGAUGGCCACGCUGUCUCCACCCGAGACUCAGUGAAAUUGAAAUCGCUGUGAAGAUGCAGUGUACCCGCGGCUAGACGGAAAGACCCCGUGAACCUUUACUACAGCUUGGCACUGAACAUUGAACCUACAUGUGUA